UCAGUCGGUAGAGCAACGGAUUGAAAAUCCGUGUGUCCCCAGUUCGAUCCUGGGUCCCGCCA
rnacentral:tRNA from 1 species